rnacentral:rRNA from 1 species
AGUGAACGCUGGCGGUAGACCUAACACAUGCAAGUCGAACGGCAGCACAGUAAGAGCUUGCUCUUACGGGUGGCGAGUGGCGGACGGGAGAGGAAUACAUCGGAAUCUUCUUUUUCGUGGGGGAUAACGUAGGUAAACUUACGCUAAUACCGCAUACGACCUACGGGUGAAAGCAGUGGAUCUUCGGACCUUGCGCGAUUGAAUGUGCCGAUUUCGGAUUAGCUAGUUGGCGGGGUAAGGGCCCACCAAGGAGACGAUCCGAAGCUCGUCUGAGUGGCAGAUCACCCACACUGGAACAGAGAAACGGUCCAGACUCCUACGAGAGGCAGCAGUGGGAUAUAUUGGACAAUGGGAGCAAGCCUGAUCCAGCACGACCGCGUGCGUGGAGAAGGCCUUCCGGUUGUAAAGCCAUUUUGUUGGGAAAGAACAGCAGCAGGUUAAUACCCAGCUGUUCUGACGGUACCCAAAGAAUAAGCACCGGCUAACUUCGUG